CGGAGAUAUGAGACAUGAUGAGCUGUUGUUGUCUUAAGCCACAGGGUUUGGAGGUGGCUUGUUCCGCAGCACUGGAUAACAAAACAUGCUGAGACUUGGUAUCGUGGAAGUUAGCCCGGCCAAAUGGAGAACACGUGAGAGGCGUGAGAUGGCACAGCGAUCUGGAUUCUGUAUAGGAGGCUGAAUAGGAGACUGGGAGUAUAGGUCGGGGAGAGGCAUUUACUGGAACUGGAGGUCGGCCAAGUCUAGAUCAGAGCAGUUGAAGGUCUGUGACUGGGAACAAUGACUGGAAGUUUGAUGACUGACACUCAGUGUGACAGGGAGACAGUGAGGUAGCAGAGCCACUACUUGAAGAGGGGAAGUCAAUUGGUCCAAUG
rnacentral:lncRNA from 1 species